CUUCAUUCUUGCCUCCUCGUCGCAACUUCGACAAGAACUGAAAACUUUACUCGUCGAUCUACCGGCUCUGUGAGUUUAAGUGGUUUUUAACUGUCAUCGACAUGGCUAAAUGGGGCGAAGGUGAUCCGAGGUGGAUCGUAGAAGAGAGAGCUGAUGCUAAAAAUGUGAAUAAUUGGCACUGGACAGAGAAAAAUGCAACUCCUUGGUCCAAGGAAAGAUUGAAGACACUUUUAAAGGAUUUAGAAAUCGAAACAGAUAAAGGAAAAGUCAAGAUAACUGAUGUUCGAAAAAUUGAUGGUGAAGCUUAUGCCAAGUAAGUGCAGCCUCCUGUCUCUGACCACCAGUAGUUCCCAGGUCGAUCAAAAUUGAAUGGCUUUUAGAAAAAAAAUCACUGUGUACCUUAUGAUAUCGACCAGCUGCUCUGCUGGGCUUUUCUUCACUGAAAUAAAAAUGAAAAAUAGAAAAAGAAAAUACAGCUACCUACUUCAAAACUUUGUUGGAACACUGAUUUCUGUAAAAAGAUGAAAUUUAUUGCUGUAUUUGACAAUCUUUGUCGAAGGUCUUUUCAAAUUUUCAUGAUUUAACCUGAAAAAAAUAGUGUUAUGGAUUAUUGUAAAGUAGUUUCUAGAAAUUUCUAGAAAGCAUGUUCCAGACCUUUCUAGAACAUUUCUACUGCAUUGUGAUGAUUAUGAUGUAAUGCUAUACAAAUAGUACUGAACAUUGUGCUGUAA